rnacentral:rRNA from 1 species
GAUGAACGCUAGCGGCAGGCCUAAUACAUGCAAGUCGAACGGUGUCUUCGGACAUAGUGGCGCACGGGUGCGUAACACGUAUGCAACCUACCUUACAUUGGGGGAUAGCCUUUCGAAAGGGAGAUUAAUACCGCAUAAGACAGUAGCUGGGCAUCCAGCAGCUGUUAAAGAUUUAUCGAUGUAAGCUGGGCAUGCGUCCAAUUAGCUAGUUGGUGAGGGAACGGCUCACCAAGGCAAUGAUUGGUAGGGGAACUGAGAGGUCAAUCCCCCACACUGGCGCUGAGAUACGGGCCAGACUCCUACGGGAGGCAGCAGUAGGGAAUAUUGGGCAAUGGACGCAAGUCUGACCCAGCCAUGGCGCGUGCAGGAUGAAGGCGUUAUGCGUUGUAAACUGCUUUUAUACAGGAAGAAACGACUCUUGCGAGAGGCAUUGACGGUACUGUAUGAAUAAGCACCGGCUAACUCCGUGCCAGCCGCCGCAGUAAAAC